CUCUCUCUGCAACCACACAGACCGCACCAUUCUUUCUUCUCUGCCUAGCUCCGCCGCCAAGGCAAGACUCACACAUGCAUCUCCACCAUCAGAUUUGCCUCAUCAAUCUCUACACAACCAUGCUUGUCAAUCGUAGAAACAUCUUUGUUUCUCAACAGAUCAAAAUCAAAGCAGAGAAAUGCAGCCGGUGAACCUUGAUCUCCGGUGAACCUUCUUGAUUCCAGUUGGUAAGUCUAGCCUCUAAUCUUAUUUCCCAAUCCAUCUCUAUGUUUGAUUUCAUCGAUUUGAAGCUAAACUCAAAUUCUUAUUUUUCUGGGUUUUGUAACCGUCGCCCCUCUUAUUGGCGAAAUUGAGAGCUUCUCCAACCCUCAUUGAGCUUGAGGAUAGCCCAGACGUGGAGCAGGAGCUUUGGAGCAACGUUAGAGCGACAAGUGACUAGAAUUUGGGGCACACAAAUGCAGCAACUCCGAUUGAAUUGGAGACUAAAUUGAGGAUGGAUUCACAAGCAAACUCAAGACCCUCAGCUAUAGAAGGAGAACACCUAAAGUGAAGAACCAACACACACUUGUAUUUAUGUUGAAGAUGUAGCUCUCGUUGAGGCUUUAACUGAAAUUUGUAUUUUUGGGAGCUGGAAAGCUGAUAAUGAAUUCAAGUCAAGAUACUUAGCAGAAAUUCAGAGAAUUAUAAAUCGUAAAGUACCAAAUUGUGGAUUGAAAGCAAACCCACAUAUUGUGUCUCGUGUUAAGACACUAAAAAAACAGACACUUGCCAUCUUCGACAUGAUAACUAACGCAAGUGGUUUUGCAUGGGACAAUGAAUCGAAAAUAAUUGUAUGCUAGAAGCAAGUGUUUGAUGAAUGGGUUA